UAAACUGUCAGCAUUUCAUUAAAAACAAACCUCUGGAUAUAACAGGGUGACUACUCACCGUACCCGAAAGCACAGAGAACGCCGUAUGGUUGCAAGAAUGUCCCCAGGGAGCUCCAGAGCGAAGCCUCUUCAUGGAUCGAUUCACCUUUCCGGCGUCAGCGAAAGCUCGUCAGAGAGAAUCUUAAGUUUCUCCGAGCACUGCAGCCUCUUGGGAAGUGGGGGCAACCCUCUCCUUUCUACCAGUGCUCUCUGCGGCCGCCUGCCCGUCUGCCUGUCACCCUCACUUGAGAGCAUCUGUGUCCAGGGCUCCUCCCGACCUCGUCACUGUUCCUGCUCUCCACAAUUCCGUGAUGCCUGUAGGAAGUACAGCCUGUCCUCUGUCACCGUGCUCUGCCGGAACUGUCCUCCAGCACUGGGGACGCAGGAAAGCGGGGAGCACCCAGAAGACCCUCUGAGAUGCCGUGGAGCACGCAAUCGUCCUGACUGGCAGGUAACUCCCAUGCCUCCAGUAAAGGUGAGGGUGUACUUGGAGAUGGAUGCCUCCCCUCUGAUGUGUGAUCAAAGCUCUGGGCCCAGGGAUUGCAGGGUGCAAUUCUUUUUCUCUCUUCGGAGUUUAAAUGACCCCUGUAAACAUGAGACUAUGGACUAUGAGAAACAAACUGAGGGCCUCAGAGGGGAGGGGGUGGGGGAAUGGGAUAGCCCGGUGAUGGGUAGUAAGGAGGGCACGUAUUGCACGGUGCACUGGGUGUUAUACGCAACUAAUGAAUCAUCGAACUUUACAUCGGAAACCGGGGAUGUACUGUAUGGUGACUAACAUAAUAUAAUAAAAAAUCAUUAAAAAAAUAAAAAUAAAAAUAA
rnacentral:lncRNA from 1 species